rnacentral:rRNA from 1 species
UACGGAGGAUCCGAGCGUUAUCCGGAUUUAUUGGGUUUAAAGGGUGCGCAGGCGGGAGAUUAAGUCGGCGGUGAAAUUUUGCAGCUCAACUGUAAAAGUGCCUUCGAAACUGGUUUCCUUGAGUGUGGAUGAAGUAGGCGGAAUUUGUGGUGUAGCGGUGAAAUGCAUAGAUAUCACGAGGAACUCCGAUUGCGCAGGCAGCUUACUAUACCAUAACUGACGCUCAGGCACGAAGGCGUGGGGAUCAAACAGGAUUAGAUACCCU